rnacentral:rRNA from 1 species
CAUGCAAGUCGAACGGAAGUUUAAGCAAUUAAACUUUAGUGGCGAACGGGUGAGUAACGCGUAAGCAAUCUGCCCCUAAGACGAGGAUAACAGUUGGAAACGACUGCUAAGACUGGAUAGGAGACAAGAAGGCAUCUUCUUGUUUUUAAAAGACCUAGCAAUAGGUAUGCUUAGGGAGGAGCUUGCGUCACAUUAGUUAGUUGGUGGGGUAAAGGCCUACCAAGACUAUGAUGUGUAGCCGGGCUGAGAGGUUGAACGGCCACAUUGGGACUGAGACACGGCCCAAACUCCUACGGGAGGCAGCAGUAGGGAAUUUUCGGCAAUGGAGGAAACUCUGACCGAGCAACGCCGCGUGAACGAUGAAGUAUUUCGGUACGUAAAGUUCUUUUAUUAGGGAAGAAUAAAUGAUGGAAAAAUCAUUCUGACGGUACCUAAUGAAUAAGCCCCGGCUAACUAUGUGCCAGCAGCCGCGGUAAUACAUAGGGGGCAAGCGUUAUCCGGAAUUAUUGGGCGUAAAGGGUGCGUAGGCGGUUAAAUAAGUUUAUGGUCUAAGUGCCAUGCUCCACAUUGUGAUGCUAUAAAAACUGUUUAGCUAGAGUAAGAUAGAGGCAAGUGGAAUUCCAUGUGUAGUGGUAAAAUGCGUAAAUAUAUGGAGGAACACCAGUAGCGAAGGCGGCUUGCUGGGUCUUUACUGACGCUGAGGCACGAAAGCGUGGGGAGCAAACAGGAUUAGAUACCCUGGUAGUCCACGCCGUAAACGAUGAGUACUAAACGUUGGGUAAAACCAGUGUUGAAGUUAACACAUUAAGUACUCCGCCUGAGUAGUACGUACGCAAGUAUGAAACUUAAAGGAAUUGACGGGACUCCGCACAAGCGGUGGAUCAUGUUGUUUAAUUCGAAGGUACCCGAAAAACCUCACCAGGUCUUGACAUGCUUCUGCAAAGCUGUAGAAACACAGUGGAGGUUAUCAGUUGCACAGGUGGUGCAUGGUUGUCGUCAGCUCGUGUCGUGAGAUGUUGGGUUAAGUCCCGCAACGAGCGCAACCCUUAUUGUUAGUUACCAGCACGUAAUGGUGGGGACUUUAGCAAGACUGCCAGUGAUAAAUUGGAGGAAGGUGGGGACGACGUCAAAUCAUCAUGCCCCUUAUGACCUGGGCUACAAACGUGAUACAAUGGCUGUUACAAAGGGUAGCUGAAGCGCAAGUUUUUGGCGAAUCUCAAAAAAACAGUCUCAGUUCGGAUUGAAGUCUGCAACUCGACUUCAUGAAGUUGGAAUCGCUAGUAAUCGCGAAUCAGCAUGUCGCGGUGAAUACGUUCUCGGGGUUUGUACACACCGCCCGUCAAACCACGAAAGUUGGCAAUACCCAAAGCCGGUGGCCUAACUUCGCAAGAAGAGGGAACCGUCUAAGGUAGGGUCGAUGAUUGGGGUUAAG